GGGAAAGACUCCUGCUGCUUCCUACUAGACGUGAGGCUUGCACUGCUCCCGCCAUGGAGCUCAGAUCAUGCCCUGGAGAAGCAGGUGACAUCGCGGAAUUUUCCUGGUGAGAGCAGUUCCAGAUGCCAGAAGUCUGAAAUGAAGGUGUAAAGCAGGGUGGUUCCUUCUGGAGGCUCUGAGAGAAUCACCCCAGGCCUCUCUCCAGCUUCUGGUGCUGGUAUUCUCAGGCUUGUAGGCGCAUCACCCAUGUCUGCCUCCAUCUUCACAUGGCCUUCUCCUCUGUGUCUGCCUGAAGUCUCCCUUCAUUUCUCUUGUAAGGACAUCAGUCAUUGGAUUUAGAGCCCACCCUAAACCCAGAAUGAUCUCAUCUCAAGAUUACAUCUGCACAGACGCUAUUUCCAGAUAAGGUCACAGUCAAAGGUACCAGGGGUUAGGAUAUGAACAUAUCUUUUUGAAAGACACGAUUUAACCUACAGCAGGUGCUCAGGGCAGUUGGGUGGGGGCCUGUGCUAGGGGCCCAACAGCCAAGGCUUAAAGCCGCACUCCACACCUAGGCCUGUGACACCUCCCACAAGCUUCUUCACCUCUCAAGCCUCAACUUCUACUUCUGCAAACAGGGAACAAUAAAAGUAUCUCCCUGCCCCCACCUUGCAGGGUUUCCAGUUCCAAUGUCUACACACUCACCUGGGAGUUAUCUGAAAUUGUUGUUCACCUGCUUAAACCUUUUGAGUUUCCAGCACCCCCCAGAAGUCCCCACCCUCUAGUCCCUUAGCAAGAUACUGGCCCUGCGUGAGCUUCCCACCUUCCUUGACAGCUGCAUCUCUCAUCAUUAGGACCUGGGCAACACUGCAGAAUAUGGCAGGUCUUCCCUCAUCUCUGUGCUUUGCCUCCAUUCCCUGACUUCUCUCCCAUCCUCCUCCUGUCACCUGGCCUCUCCCCAUCCUACUGGCCUUAAAGCUCAGCUCCUGAAGCCUCCCUGAUGCUCCUCCCUUCAUAGCCCCUCCCAGCCUGGCCACGUGGGCUCGGGCAGCCCAGAGCCUGGGCCUCCUGGUCACACUCUGAGCACACAGCCCAUUUUCUCUCCAGUGCUGGCUUGUGUUUGACACCAUGCCUGACACAUUGGGGGUGCUCAGUAGACCUGUGUGAGAUGGACAGCCUCCCGUACAGAUGGACGGACAGAUGUACAGGUAGGUGAAUGAACUUUCGUUGCCCCUAAAGCAGGAGAGACUCUGAGUUUCUGAGACAACGGCCAAGAACUUUCUGAUAAGAUCUCUGCAUUUAAGGUUCAGAAAAACUCGAUGAGGACAAUAUUUUUCUCCCGAUUUUGCAGAUAAGAAAAUAGAGGCAUAGAGAAGUCACUUGCUAGUAAAUGUUAGAGGCAGCUUUCUAACCCAGGUCCAUGUGAACCCAGAAAAAGAGGCAGUGAGCACCUGUUCACCCAGGAGCAGCUCUCAGAAGAUAAGAUAAUACGAGGAGGAGGCAGCAGACCCCUAUGCCACGCGUCCACCUGGGGCUGUCCAUCACUUCCUGCAAGAUCUUGCUGGUAGCCAGAUUCUCAGAGACCCCCAGUGAGCCCCGCCUCCUGGUUUUCACACCCUGUGUAGUUUCCUUUCCCCAGGGAUGGUCCAAGUGACCAGCAGCCCGUGGCAGAAGUGAUGGAAUAGCACUUCCAAGCUUAGGUUAUGAAAGAUUGCAGCUUCAAUCUCCUGCCCCACACCCCGUCUCUCUCUCUAACCCCACUCCCUCCCUCCCUCUCUCAUCUCUGACUCUGGGGGAAGCACACUGCAGCCCCGUGGAGAUGCCCUGUGUAAGCCACUGAAGCCUCUGGCCAACAGCAGUGGGAACCUGAGACGUGUCCACAAGCAUGCAUGGGAGCUUGGAAGUGGAUCCUUCAGCCCCAGCCAAGCCUUCAGACGAUGCAGCCUCAGGGACAGUAUGACUGCAGCCUCAUGAGACCCUGAGCCAGAAACACCCCUCCAAGCCACUCCCAGAUGCCUGGCCCUCAGAACCUGGGAGGUAAUAAAUAUUUAUGGCUGUUUGAAGCUGCUGUAUCGGGGGACAAUUUGUUACACAGUAAUAGCUAACUGGUGCAGUCCUGGGACUCUUAGCAGUUUGGAGUAUCAGUUAUUUUGCCAAGGCGGGGAAGUUAACAGUGGUCAUUGCAGCAGCUGCACUUGGGGACCACAAUAAAGAAGCUUUCUCAGACUGGUUUGAACAAAGUGGUGAAUUCUCUGCAAGGACACAGAGGUGUCUCUCAAAACCCAAGGAUGGGACAGCAGGCCUCAAGAAGAACUGGAACCUCUGUCCCUUCUGUGCUUCUUUUUACUCCUGUGUUCUCUGCUUCUUGGAGCACUUGGCAGUUGGGAAGUGGCCAUUUCAAUUCUCGUGGUCAAGAAACCAGCUCAGAAAUAACCCAACCAACACAGGUGGGGUCAGGUGUCCAUCCUGGCUCCAUUUGUCAUGGCGGGAGAUGGUGAUGAAGAGAAACAUCCAGGACCAUUGGUAGGGCACCCGAAUGAGAUUCCAGGAGAGGCCAGUUCUAAGAGAAGGGUACUAGAAAGAUACCCAUUGAAGUCAAUACCACAUGUGGCACAUCCUCCUUUCAGGUGGCAAGUGUGUAGCCAAAGCAAGGUUCAGGGUCCAUAUUUGAAAGUCAGAAACUGAAUAAACUGUUUUCUCCCACCCCGAGCACUGUGGGGAACUCUGCUCACAAAUCCACCAUCCACCAUCACCAGCCGUGCUCAUCUGACCAUUCAUGCAGGCUCACACUUGACCUGAUGUGGGUUCUGUCUCCUUUGCUUGAGAAUUGAAAGGCCUGGGAGAUGCAAAAGCUUUAGGCUCCAGCCAUCUCCCCAUGUCAGGUAGGCCUUUUGCCUAGUGUAUCCAGUUGGUAAUGCUGCAGAGAUGCAUGAAGCUGGAGUCAGAGGCCACCUGUAGUGCUGCCCUGACUUCAGACCUGAGCCCAGCCCAGCAGCAGAGAGGGGGCUGGGAGCCAGAGGAGGCCUCACAGUAACAGCACAGACAGGUGGGGGCCCACAACAGGCCACAUGUGUUCAAACUCGAGUGUGGGCAGAGGAGCAUGGGAAGCUCAGAGCCCUGAGCUCACCCCACACCCAACACGAGUGGGGUCACCCAAAAUCAGCCUGUCAGCACUGUCCCAGCAGCCAGUCGCAUGCUACAUUAACAAAUUUUGCACAGGCCAGCAAGCAGGAUCGCUCACCAGCCACCCUCCUGAACUGGCCUAUGGGGCCCCAGGAUGAUGCCAUAGCCACAAGUCUGGAGUUCCUCAAAGUACCUGGUCAGCACAACUCAGUUAAACAAUGGGCAAAAGACCUGAACAGACACUUCGCCAGAGAAGAUGUACAGAUGCAAGUAAGCAUUUGAAAAGGUGCCCCACAUCGUAUGUCGUUAGGGAAUGGUCCAAUCCAGAACACUGAUGGCACCAAAGGCUGCUGAGCAUGUGGAGCAGCAGAACUCUCAUUCACUGCUGGUGAGAAAAAUGGCGCAGCCCCAAUAGGGAACCCUAAUGCAGACUCUGGACUUCACUGGAAAUGACGUGUCAGUGUAGCUGCGUCAGUUGUAACAAAUGCACCAGUCUGGUGGGCGUGUUGAUAACCGGGGCUGCGCACGUGGGGAGAGAGGACCUGUGGGAAUGCUCUACUUUCCACUCAUUUUUGCUGUGAACUUAAAACUGCUCUUACAAAAUAACAUUGUUUGUUGUUGUUGUUGUUGUUGUUGUUGUUGUUGUUUUUAAGUAUCUAGUCAGCUCCACACAUGACCCGGGCAGAGUGGGAAGUUGUAGAGUGCCCCAAGGAGAGAAAUGGAACCAGGUCUCAUGUGGGGCCAAGUGUGGGCUCCCUGUCCUCUCAGCUGGUCCCAGGAACUGAAGGGAAAUUUAGACAACUUGGAGAAAGACACUCUAGGGCUCGGGGCAAAGGGUGGUGUUGAUGAGAACCAUAUUUUUUUAUUGCUGGUGUAAGCACUUGUAUUUUUCUGAUUUUCCACUGGUUCGAUAAUAAGGGUAAAAGACAAUAAAGCAUACUUUUUAAGCUUUUGUUUAGAAGUUUUUUUUCCAAUAAAACUUCCCCAAAA
rnacentral:lncRNA from 10 species